UUUCAGAUAUACAGAGAGUGGCAAAAGAGUUGAUUCUUCUGAUGUGCAUAUACCCGGCUGAGGCUGAACAAGGUAUGAAAUGAACGCGUCGAGAGAGAAGAUCAGUAAAUAAUUGACCAACUCUUCGUAGAAAGGACUAUUCCAGAUACUCUGUGGAGACUGUACUACAGGGAAUCAAGAACGUGAUUAGAGAGUUCAUUUGGGAACCUAAUACAGUAGUCCAGCUUGGUGAGAUCAAAUUCCUGUGUAUUGGGUUUGCUCGAAGUGAACUGGACCUAUUAAACACAUUUAAUCCACCAUACUUCUGUAGUGUAUAGGAAGACUCUGGUUUGAAUUUGUGGAGCAGGAGAGAAGAACACCACAAGCACAGCAGCUGCAUCCAAAUGAAUCUUUCCCUGGGGAAGGAAAUAUUUUAUUUUCCCUCCAAGGCCACAAGAAGCCAGGAACAUGAAGAGAAGCUGACAGAAGGCAGUUUUUAUCUCAGGGAGAGCUGCUUUUUCCUGACAGUGGUGCUGGAGUGACCCUUGUGUUUGGUUCUGUCAUUAAGGAUUGAUGUACUUGUGUAUGGGUUCCCAGAGAAGCAUUUAUGCUUUGUGAUUGAUUCCCUGUGAGGAUUAGAAUAGCACUUUGCGAGUGCCCAUUCAAUACUCAUUUGUUAAGCAGUAGUAAAAUACAAUAAAUGGAUAACUGUAGCAGCCCAGCCGUGCAAAGCCAAUGUUCCCUAUCUAUCUUUCAACUUUGGGUGGUGCAGUGUACAAGUGACACAACAGGGCACAUGUUACAGGGUAAAGAUUUAGUAGAGUAUUUUUGG